CACACACUGCAAUUACUUUUGC
rnacentral:miRNA from 2 species